CCCUCAGGGUUUCUCUAUCGCGCUAGGGUUUACAGUUCACCGGCGGUAAGGAAUGGAUCUUUCCAAGAAGAGAAAAAUGGAGGAGAACGGUGGCCAAUUCACCACCGAUGUUACUAACGACGUCGUUGCUCCACCACCGUCAUACUCCUUUCCAAGUCUUACUCCACAGGAUGCGCGCAAAAUACUUGAACCGUUCACCAAAGAGCAGCUACUCGACGUCCUACAAACCGUAGUCGUCCGAGACAUCGCUGUUCUGGACGCCGUUCGAUCGGUCGUAGACUCCGAUCCUACCCAACGCAAACUUUUCAUCCGCGGUAUCGGCUGGGAAACAACCACGGAUAAGCUUCGAUCUAUCUUUUCAGCUUUUGGGGAACUCGAAGAGGCUAUUGUGAUAACUGAUAAAACUACUGGAAAAUCUAAAGGUUAUGGAUUUGUUACUUUUAGGCAUAUAGACGGGGCGGUUAUGGCUUUGAAACAACCUAGCAAGAAGAUCGAUGGUAGAAUUACGGUUGCGCAGUUAGCGGCGGCCAGGGAUUUAGCUAAUGUUGAUGUGUCGACGAGGAAGAUUUACGUCGGAAAUGUUCCGUUUGAGAUAUCAUCGGAUAGACUUUUGAGUCACUUUUCAUCGUAUGGGGAGAUAGAAGAAGGGCCGUUAGGGUUUGAUAAACAGUCAGGGAAACAAAAGGGGUUUGCUUUUUUCGUUUAUAAAACUGAGGAAGGGGCGAGAAAUUCACUUGUUGAUCCAAUUAAGAACAUUGAUGGGCACCAGGUUAUGUGUAAAAUGGCUACUGAUGGGAAGAAGGGGAAAGCAGGUGGGCCACAAGGACCUACUGGGAUGCCUGGUGAUGCCGCUCCACCCCAUGGAUCAAUGCCAGGGUCCAUGAAUGCGGGGUAUGGUAUGCCAGGUGGGAUAACAUCGUAUGGAGGGUUCUCUGGUGGGCCUCCUUUGCCUUCUCAUCAAAAUCCACAACUAAAUUCUUCAGUGCCUUCAGCAAUUGGCAGUGGUCAUGGUUAUGGAAAUCAGGGACCACCCUCAUUUGGUGGUGGUGGUGGGGGAAGUGGGUAUGGCGGUGGUGGGUAUGGUAGUGGCGGAUAUGGCAGUGGUGGAUAUGGUGGUGGCUCACAUUAUGGUGGAGGGGGUGCAGCCCCAGAUCAUCCGGGGCCGAACAGUUUUGCAUCUUCAAUUAACAGAAUGCCACCAACUCAGGGAGGAUACCCUGAUGGUGGAAAUUAUGGUAUGUCUUCAGCUUAUCCAACACAACCGAACCUCCCACCAGCGGGUCCUAGAGGCCCUCAUGGUGGGAUGUACCAGGGCGGGACUCCUUAUUAUUGAGUGAGAGAGACCAGAAUCCUUCUUCCAUACAGAGUCUCCUACCUAAGCCUUCUUUCAAGGGUACAAGAGAACUCUGCAGCAACUUGGAUCAAGAGUGUUUGCAGAACAGGUUCUGGUGGUCACAAGGAGACGAAGAACCGCCUGCAACAAUCCACCGCCAAACUUGAGAUCUUACAAGGUCCCAAAAGAUUUGCAUCAACCGAUAGAGCCCAACUUCCCUGGAGGUCAAGACCAAAUACUAUUUGCCGUGCAUAAAUAUUAUAUACGUAAAAGAAAGAUUCAGCCUCAUGGUUCUUGGUUUUCUCCUGGACUUGCUAUCUGCUGUUGCUAAGUUUUUGAAACGGGAUGGAAUUGUAUUAUGCAGUAAAGGCGUAAUCUCUCUUUUACGAGAAACGACUCAAAAAGUUUAUGAUCAAUGUUAUAUAUUUGAAAUAUAUAGCAAAGAAGUACCUAAUGAUUUUUGUUUUAUAACUAUGAAUGGUGUUAGUGGUAAUCAAGGUAGUUCUGUUUCCAAAGAGUCUGUAUUUCUGGUAAUUGACAAGAGUUCUAAAAUGGUCUCAUUUUCAUUCAGACCACUUAUAUGAUGAGAUUUUGGGAUAUGUUCUAAAACUGAUCCUUCAAAUGCACAAAAAAGUCGUCUUAUUAUUACCAAAACUGAUCAGACCUAGCAACCCCUUCAUGAAAAUGAUAAAUAAACAAGGGGAAAAAAGACAGCAUCUUAAUGGUUGUAAAAUAUUCUGAAUGAUUUUGUAUUAUGGACCCUUUAAUCAUUCAGCAUCCAAAUUUCAUUCUGAACAAUUACCAAAUAAUUAUAUUUUGUUUUGCAUUAUAUUAUGAGAGACUUUUAAUUAUUCUGACUAUUUAAUUAUUUUGUAACAAAUCUUUUAGCAAUUGGCAAACGAUCCCUUAUAUUCUAUUUUUAAGAUGCAUCAAUAAACUAAUCAUUUUUUUGAGUUCCAUCUUUGAUUUUUAGGAGGUGUUUGAGAUUUGCUUAUUUGAA